AAAGGGAGACCUAAUUCAGGUAGGAGACGAAAAAAAAGUAGUCCCUACCAAGAAUCAAUCCCAAAAGGUCGGAGCGAGGCAAAAUUGGCUUUCAAACUAGGUUCUGGGUUCACACAAGACCUGAAUCAGGAACAAGGGCUAUUAGCUCAGGUGGUUAGAGCGCACCCCUGAUAAGGGUGAGGUCCCUGGUUCGAGUCCAGGAUGGCCCACCUGUACAGGUGGCAAAAAGAAAGAAAAGAAGCGAGGAAUCAGCACCUUAUCUUACUUAUAUAGUAAGAGAGAAUGCUGGCUCUGAGUUCAGAGUCCAGAGGAACCUUGAAAACUGCAUAGAGCUAGGUGAGAAAGCCAAAAAAGAAGACCGCAAG
rnacentral:tRNA from 1 species